UACGUAGGGGGCAAGCGUUGUCCGGAUUUAUUGGGCGUAAAGAGCGUGUAGGCGGCUUUGCAAGUCCGUUGUGAAAACUCGAGCUCAACCUCGAGACGCCGGUGGAAACUGCAAAGCUAGAGUCCGGAAGAGGAGAGUGGAAUUCCGUGGUGUAGCGGUGAAAUGCGCAGAUAAUCAGGAAGAACACCCGUGGCGAAGGCGGCUCCUCUGGGACGGUA
rnacentral:rRNA from 1 species